GAAUAUGCUUUGCUCUGCUCUUCAGAAUCCUCUCUCUCACAUCAUCACAAUUCAUCGUCCUCAUCGUCACAAACACUUCUGCUUUUCCAUUCUCUCCUAUACUAAAUUCGGAGAGGAAGACGAGAGGUGCAGGAAUCAUGGAGUUUCUUCAGGAACUCUUCCUGACCGGUUUUCUUUCGCUUAUCUUCGCCUUUCUCUUAGCUAAGCUCGUUUCAAUGGCUUCGGCUGGGGAUGCCGACGAGAGUGAGUCUGUCUUAAGACCAGGGAAGGAGUUUGAUGGUGGCGUAGUUACGGAGGAGCGAACUUUUGAAGGACGACUGAACAAUCCAGGGUUGCAAACCGAAGAUAAAGUUGAAUUUAUUGGAGAAACUGUAAAGAUUGAUCAACAUGAAAGAGAAUUGGUCCGGGAAAAGAUGGAAAUGGUGCAUGGAAGCAAAGAAUUCGAGAUGGGAAGUUCCAGGGAGGUUGAGGUUUAUGAAGAUAAUCAUCUUAGAGUAGAGGAGGAAACUUUAAAACAAGAAGUUGAAGUCCGCGGAUUACCACAAGACAAGCUUAUCGAGGAAAGGUCUGAUAAGGAGGAGAUGACAAACCAUGCUUUUUAUUCGGGACAACUUAAGGAGGAAAUGGCUCCAACUGAGGAUGACCAGUUGGAAGCCAACUUGGUUGAAGAAAGCCAUGGGAAGUUAGAGAAUCAUAAAAAUAACAUAGAAUUGGCGAAGGACGACGACAUUCUUUUCAAGGACCAACAGCUUGGGCUUGCUGGGCAUGAAUUGUAUCAGGAAAAUGCUGCUGAAGUAGCAGAGAGAAGUAGGCAAAAUGAUGACAAGGAGGUUUUGUUUAGUGAUGAAGAUGAUUGGGAAGGGAUCGAAAGAACAGAGGUGGAAAAGCUUUUUAGUGCCGCAGCGGCAUUUGUUGGCUCUCCGUGUAACAACGAUCGCUUGUCGAACGUUGAUAGUGAUGUGCAGAUGCUGUUGUAUGGGCUUCACAAGGUUGCUACCGAAGGGCCUUGCCAUGAGCCGCAGCCCAUGGCACUAAAGGUCUCUGCCCGCGCAAAGUGGAAUGCUUGGCAACAGCUGGGGAACAUGAGUCCAGAGGAGGCAAUGGACCAGUAUAUCACUCUUCUUUCAGAUACAGUUCCUGGGUGGAAGGGAGAAAGUCCUGGAGGACACAAUAAACAGGAAUACCUGGAAGGGAGAACUCCUGGUUUGGGAGCAUUUCCACUUAAAUUGGGUUCUGAAGGUGAAAGGAAACCAGAGGAACCCCAGUCUUGUAGCAAAGGGGAUGAGACUGCAGACAGAAACUUUGUGGACAGGAAUAACAACCCAAUCUAAUCUCAUCAGAUGACUGAACAUAUGAGCGUCAGCUAUCACUUUGUCAUCAUCAUCAGGAGAAUGACAAACAAUAACAGAUGGUCUAAUACUGCUUCCUCUCAACAAUGCUAGGAGACUUCUCCUGGGUUCUCCUGACUGAGGAGCUUGCUUUGAAGAUUGGAGGCUUUUAUGCUGGUUAUACUUUUAUUCUUCCUGAUUAUCCCAAAUGUUCUUCAUUUCAAUAAGAACUGAUAUCUAUGUGUAUUUGUUGUAUGUGUAUAUAUGUCUUGUAUGUUCUAUUAUCUUACCUCAAGGGUCAAGACUCAUUUUGGUGCCUAUGAUGCUGAAUAAAAAUUAAUGAUAUCUCAUCA